rnacentral:lncRNA from 1 species
AGGGCUGGUGGUGUCCCCUGACUUGUUCCUCUCCUGACUUUCUCAGCCUGGAGACUGAAAGCUCUCUUUGGCUGUUGGCCCUCCCAGGCAGAGUCCACUGGCUGUUAGGGUGAAAUGGGGCUGAUGCUUCCUGGAAUCCACCAGAAGUAUGCAAAUUGCACCAUCUCUUUCAGCUGCCUGCGCCUGCAUUCCAUCGAGGAUUCCGGGUGGAACUAAUCAAAAGAUACAUCUUUCUAAGAAGAGGAGAGGACACAGAGAGACACACAGAGAAGGUGAUGACAAUGAUGAGAAGACGGAGGCGGAGAUUGGAGUGAUGAUGCAUCUACAAGCCAGGGAACAUCAAGGACUGCCAGCAACCACCAGAAGCCAGGAGAGAGGCAUGAGACAGUUCUUCCUCCUAUCCUUCAGAAGAAAUCAACUCUACUGACACCAUGAUUUUGGAUUUUGGCCUCCUAAAAUGUGAGAAAAUAAAUUUCUGUUGUCUUAAGC